rnacentral:tRNA from 1 species
GCGGAUGUAGCUCAAUUGGUAGAGCACCAGAUUGUGGCUCUGGGUGUCGGGGGUUCAAUUCCCCUCAUUCGCCCCA